CUCGGGUUACCGAAUUCAGACAAACUCCGAAUGCCAAUUAAUUUAACUUGGGAGUCAGAACAUGGGUGAUAAGGUCCGUGUUCGAAAGGGAAACAGCCCAGACCACCAGCUAAGGUCCCAAAAUAUAUGUUAAGUGGAAAAGGAUGUGGCGUUGCCCAGACAACUAGGAUGUUGGCUUAGAAGCAGCCAUCAUUUAAAGAGUGCGUAAUAGCUCACUAGUCGAGUGACACUGCGCCGAAAAUGUACCGGGGCUAAACAUAUUACCGAAGCUGUGGAUUGUCCUUUGGACAAUGGUAGGAGAGCGUUCUAAGGGCGUUGAAGCAUGAUCGUAAGGACAUGUGGAGCGCUUAGAAGUGAGAAUGCCGGUGUGAGUAGCGAAAGACGGGUGAGAAUCCCGUCCACCGAUUGACUAAGGUUUCCAGAGGAAGGCUCGUCCGCUCUGGG
rnacentral:rRNA from 1 species